AGCUUCCCUAGAGCUGCGCACGGCACCUCACCGGCCGGUUGGGAAGAGCUGAGACCUCCUACAGGAACAUAGCUCUGCACUAAAUUCAUGCUGAAGAAGA